AUUGUCAGACAUAGAGAGAUAUGAUGACUAUCUGACUUAAAACAUGUAACUUCUUGCUAUUCUCACCUCUGUACAGAACAUCUUCAACAUACAAAGCAUUGUAACAAAACCACCUCAGUAUGUUUGUCCAUUGAAACACUGCACAUUUAGCUCUUCCUGCCUGCUAUUGACUCAAACAGCCUCUGCUCGUUUAUUAGCAGCUGUGUGGCCAAUUAUCUCCCUGCCCCCUUUCCUGUGUUCUAGCAGCAGCAACCUCGGCCAUGCACAAGGGAAGAGGGGGAAGAGAGGGGAGGCAAAGGGGAGACAAGGAAGGGGAGGGCCCCUCUCCUCUGACAUCGUCAUAAAGGAAUCCCCUGCACUGGGCAGGGUCCGCCCACUCGCUUACUCUCACCCUGUCUGGCUCCCAGACACACUCGCCGUUCACACACACUCCUGUCUGCACAGCCGAAGGAGAGAGACUGACAAGAAAGACAAAGAGCAAGAGACACAGAAGAACAGCAAGAGAGAGAGAGAGAGAGAGGGUGAGAGAGGGGCCGGCAACUGUGAAGUUCAACUUUGUGACACUGGAGAGCAUGAGGAGAGUGAAAAUGAGACGGGAGGAAAGGAGUAAAAAAAAAAUGUUUUCUCUCAGAGAGGCACUUCACACUCACUUCACAGCAAAUCUUGCAACCUGUUGAUCAGGACAGACGUCCACAUGGAGUGACAGCAAUAUGUGCCUGCUAUUCAAAUGUACUGUAAUAUUGGUACUGGAAUAUUGCCCCGAUCUGAGUCUGCGGUCUGCCACUGUGGACCGGCUCCAUUACAAAGGUCAGAUGUAAAUAGUUUCUUUGAAUGGGAUGGCUUAAUUUCUGUCUGCCUGUCUGCGUGUCUGUCUGUCUGUCUGUUUGAUUUGGGGAUUAUAUCUCCACCCGUCUGAAUGAUUUACUGCAUAAUUGCCUCUACCUGUUUGUCUUUCUUCCUAUGCAACUGUCUGCGUACGCUGCCGUGUACGUCUGUCAUCCGUUUACCCGUGCGUGUGUGGUCUAUCUGUCUACAUGUCCAUCAUUCUGUGUGCUUCUUCGUGGGGUGUCGCUGGCAGCACAAUGCGGGAAUAGAGGUCAUAAAAAGUUCUAGAAAAGCAGCCGAGAUACGUAAUGGUAGUAGUGAAACGAGGCCGGAGUCGCUCAAACAUUCCUCUCAUUGUUCAGAGGCCCUGUAAGUCUGUGAGCUCCCAAACCUCCAUGAAAGGAAGGGAAUCCAGCAGCUACUGUAGCUGUAACCCAGUUUCAGCUACAGUUCAGGUCCGGCCGUCUCCGUCUUCCUGUCCGCUGUCCUGCUGUCUGAUUCCCCUCUGGGAGUGUUGGUGUUGGCCAAAUUGGGCAGCAGAAGGCAAAAAUGGAGCUGAAUGAGGUUAACAUGAGGGUGAAGCAAAGAAGAGAGACAUGAUAGAGUUAAUUUGGGCCAACGAAAGGGGAUGUUCUGCUUUGCUCUCUAUGCGACUGACUGUGGCAUUAGAUAACCUCUGAGGCAAAGGACAUGGGAGAGAGGCAAGAGAGGUGGGAGAUAUUGUUAUUCUGCCUUUAACAUUGAGGUAUCAUGACGUUGUAAAUCCUGCCAGGGAAGGCCAAAAGGGUGGAUGAAUGGAUGGAUGUAGGAAAGGUGGAAUAGAGGGAGCAGAAGGAUGAGAGAAGGUUGGAAUCCAGGGCUCAAGCCUUGGCUUUGGUGGGGCGGCUUAUGCCCGGCAGCAAUCCGUAGGAAUGGGCCCAGGCUCAGGAAACCGUGGCGUAGUGGAAUAAAAGUGGGUGUGUGUGUAUGUGUGUGUGUGUGUGUGUGUGUGCACAGUUUCUGCAUCCAUUUGUACAUGUGUGGUUCAGUGGCAGCAGUGCGGCUGUGGACUAAGUACAGGGCUGGUGGUGGUAAGGGUGUUUGGCAACGAAUCAGGCAGAGGAUAGGGUUACACGCAUUGGGCUACAGGGAGCAGACCACGAGCUUGGGCUGGGCUCUUCACUGCUGAGGCUAGCUUUACAGCCUGAAGAGACUUAGAGCUUUUCUCUUUUUUUUUUUUUUUUUUUUUUAAUCUGGAGCUGGAAAAACUUUUUUUUAUUCUCAGACUAAUGUCCCACAUGUGGCGCGUUCCACUGAUUCCAGGUCAGCCAAUGAACGUUCCUCUUUGAUUCAGGAAAAGUGCAGGGAAGGACAGAGAAGGCCCAUAGACCAUAGUAGAUCACGAGUCCUUGUUUGAAUGUCAUUGAAUGUCACAGCCCCAGCAAUAAUUACACCCUCACACGCAAUAUGAAACAAAUACAAUCUUACUCACAUGCACACACAUACCCAGACACACACUCUGUCUGGAAGCCAGGGAGCUAUAGGGUGUGGUGCUGUGAAAGGUGUGUGGGUUCAAAGAUCUAGGUUUUAGUGGGUGGGAUGCGUACUGCAUUUUCACACAUUUUCACAUAUUUUUCAACUGUUUUGCUGUAUUUGGGGUAAAGAAACUAAGAUGGUUGAAUUAGCAUCCAUCCAAAAGAUUUUAGAAGGCCAAGUCAAGAUGUCUGCUCUUCCACUUCUGAGUUCAUACUGUUAUUGGUCAGACUGAAGACUCAAAAACAUUGUCUUGAAAAUGUAAGUAAAGCAAAAAAGUUGCAGUGAAAAUGCAACCACAGUUUCUGCUGCGUCAGGCACCCUUCCUCCUCACGCUCGCUCAGGUCUUCACCUUUUUGGUCUUAGCAAAAGGCUCAGGUGAGGUAGUCACAGUUACUUUUUUGUUCCUCUGCGAGACGUAUUCUGCACUUAUCAGGGCAAGUGUUUUUAAGAGGCGUAAUAGAUACGACGGCAAUUAUGAAAAGCAAACGUGGCAUAUUUACACUUAAAGGAGGGAAUUCAGACGUUAUUGUAACCCUUGUGCAAUGUUGACAUAAUGUCUUGAACCAUUAGACUUAGACAUAUUGAUUUCACAUGAAGCUGUGGUUGGAAACAAGCUGCCCUCUGUGAAAUUCUCUGAUGCAAUGGAAAGAUAUAAAAAUGACAUAUGUUUCAGUUUGAUAAGUAAUUACUAAUAAAGUGCACAAUAGCACCGGACAGCCAGCCUGUGGGGUUACCCUGCUCACUGUUUGCUCUGUGAAGCAGUUCGCAGCCUGGAGGUGCGAAUGAUGUCAGAUUGGUAUGUAUUUGUACUAUUCCUGGUUUAUGAGACAGAGUGAGAGAGUGAGAACCCAGCUAACGCACAUGCCGUGUUUGCCCGGCAGUCCACUGACAUAACUGUGUUUGUUUAUUGAUAGUGAGCAUAUUGUGUGCAAAGAGCCAGAUUGUGUCUGGCCUGUGCAUGUGUGUGCAUGUGUGUGCGUGCAUACAAGGGCAUAGGGAGAGAGAAGAUAUGUGUUGAAACAACAAGGGGUUGAGAUCCAGCUGUCUCAACAGAGGCUCUUCCACUUAACUGUUUGCCCUUGUGUAAACGGCAAUGUCAAUUCUGAACUCACGCUGAAGAGGAGAGACGGUCUGUGAAAACAGCCAGUGGCCACGUCUACACUUGGACCUCCGUACGUCGUGUGCACGAAUAUCAACAUAGCAGAACACACACAUAGCGUACAAUGUACACCCUAAAAUCUGUACACCCUAAAAGGAGCUAAGCACACACACACACACGCUGGUCUAAAACACCCACACACAAGGCCGAAAGCCAUGUACUUUACUAGGGUACAUCUGCUGGCGAUCGUCACUCAGUGAUACUAAUUUUCCUAUUCCACGCCUCCGUCAGGAUGCAACACGUUGGCACAAUUAUGAGCUGCCAAUGAGUUGCAGCCCACAUUGCAGAACCUUAUGAUUAUUUCUAACCAUAAUAAACAUCCAAUUUGAGAAAAGUGUAACAACAGCAUUGCUUGGCUCCAAUGUAGGACUCCAAAAAACAAGACAGGCCAAACGCAAAAGUGAGACAUGUUGAGAUCCUCACAGCGAGUGUUUGAGGUGAGGUGUUGGACAGCAUGCGUCAACCAGAAUGCCGUCAUUACAGGGGAAGGGAAGGAAUGAGCUCAUAGACAUUAACGGCUGCGGGUUCGACCGGGGGAACGCAAGGGGGAAGAGAGAAACCGAUGGAAAAGAUGAAAAGGCAGAGAAAAUAACACACGAGAUGAGCCACUGCCAGAUGAAAGGAUGGCGGGAUAGAGGGUUUUAGGUCGAUGGAGAGGAGUUAAAGAGGAGUUAGCGUGCUGUCUUUGAUGGGUGCUGGGACCUUAAACGACCUUCUUUCUUAAGACGGCACCUCUGAUUGUGACCAUGUGGAAACAGACACUUUCAUGUGCAUAUUUUAGUUUUCCAUGAACUGGGUGACUAAACAGUGGAGUGCUUUGUAAGACUGAGCUGCGCCACAAUGUGAUAAUAAUAUCUCAGAUAACCUGGCCCUAAAAUUAUGCCGAUCCAGCCUGGGCCUCAAAAAUGCUUCUUGUACUGUAAUCUGUGAGAGAGAGUAAAAGAGAGACAUUUUAUAUAAAGAGAGAGCACACAGAGAAAGAAGCAACUUUUUUUUUUCUUUUUUUUUUUAAUUUCUUCUCAGUGGCACCAAAAUUUGUGUGUUCUGAGCGAUUUCUAAAUUAGUGUUAUUGGCUGAUUGGACCACAGACUGAGAGAAAGAACAUUGGCCUGGAGGAAAUUAGAAAACGGUCUGCUGAGUUUUAUGUUUGCUGCUUAGCGCAAGUUGCUUAGUUGAGUGGUAUUAAAAAAAAAAUACUGAAUUCUGUUAAAGACACGGUAUCAAAUGAGAAGUAGGUCUUUUUUACUAUUUUGGGAAGCUCUUUCCAAGCAUUCAGACCUGGCUGCAGCAGAUUUGUGACAACAAUGAUACAGCAUUAGUGACGGUGCCCAAGCUCACUGUGAUCCUGGCAAAGCUCUGCAGCAGGCACACAGCGACAACAGACGGCUCAAACUUAUUUAGAGUCUGGAGUUCCCCAAAAGCGUCCCACUGACUCAUACCUUGUGCCUGGUGGAAUAUUCAUGCUGCUGAAAAUAAGGGGAUGGCAAAACAGCAUUCAGUGUGGAUCUGGAGCUCGGAAUGACAUUCAAUUAUUUAAAUAUGUCCUGUCCAGACAUGUAAAAUUCAACAAAAAGGAAUUCACAAUAAUAUGUUCUGCUCUAGGCGUGAUGAGUGUAUGUGCUUGUCCUUGUUUUUUUGGGGUUUUUUGCUAGUGAAGGAUGUUAUCAUGUAUCAUUUGACAGACAGUAAUUAGACAAUAACCUAUAAAAAACAUAGUAUCAGUUCCUUUACACAACAUGAAAAUUCCUGAUCAUUUCUUGAGACAUUUAGCAGUAGCUUAGCGGCAGAGGAAACACGGCCCAGUGAUCUCCAGCCUUUUUCCCUCACACAAGGGGCACAGAUAAAGGGGCAGAAGCAGAAUAGAGCGGAGCAAACGUCUUUUAAAGGGAGUGCCACUUGACUGGCCACUUCCUUCUAGCCUAAUUCUCCAUUCUGUCAUUGAAAAGCUAUUUUUAUAAGAGGCCACGGGAAGUCUGGGAGUUGACGAGGAACAUGCACAUACAGUACACCCAGGACUGAGAGAGAGAGCGCAGCGGCUAUGACCUGUGGAUGACAAAGAUGUAGCGAAUCAGACCACUUUAGAUGCGCAAUACAGCUAAUUAGGCAGCAACGUUAACUAUUACAGGUAACAAUGAUGCCGGAGGUCAAUUUAUUUAUUAGUAUUCUUGCAUGCUUUGACAUCUUCUCACCACAAACUGUCUAGUGGUCUCUGUUGGCCAGGGGAAUUCCUGGCAGAGUGAUUUUUGAGACUACAGGACUGAAUCACAUUGCCAGGGAUUUCCAAUGGCUGACACGAAUAAGAGCGACUCUUUCUCGUUCACACACUAAUUCGCUAACUCGCGCACAGUCUCACCCAUGUUUCUAAUUUGCAUACUCGCACACAACACACACACACGCCCAUCUCGCUCUGUGUCAUGAACAGAUGCUCACAGCCUGGCUGUGCGGCAG